ensembl:lncRNA
UAUUAAUAAAAGUUCUAUAUAAAACGGAGUGAUAAAGGAGAUUCAUACUUUUAUUUCUCACACGUGCUGAAUUCUACCUUUUCAUCUCGAAUCACGCAGGUGGAGGGUCUACACCACCUGAAUUAAUGAACCUCCUCACGGGUCGACACACGGAUCCAUCCACGUCGCCAUGAACAAGACGUCUGCUUCCCGAAUAGAAAAGCCACUGUCCACACCAAUGCAAAGGCAUCCACCGCCUUGAAAGUUGAGGAGACGUUCUGAAGCCUUCAAGGAAAGGCCUCCGUCAAGGUGAAGGAGAUGAGAUGGGGUACCAGUUGAGACGAGAGUGAAUUUCCACCGCUCACCCACCUGUGCCCAGGUUUGGACGGGAGGUGGCAUCCUGCAGCGCUCUGGCCCUGGAGAGCCACGUCCUCAGAAGCAAAGAAUCCUACGAGUUGCUUAGACUUGUUUUGCGGUCUUGACUGUUUUGCGGCGUCUCCCUGACAGCCGAAGCAGCGAUUUUUCUCAGCAUCUUCUUACCUCACUCUCUUACAUCAAGCUCAGAAAGAAAAGAGUUGACCUUUUCCUAUGACAGAUGGGCAAGCUGAGAUGCAAAGAGACGCAGGACUCAUUAGAGAUCUGGAAGCAGGUUCAGCGAGAGAAGCUCCGGAGGAAGCAGGUCGCACACCUUUCCCAAGUCUUCCGGGGAUAGAAGCCAGGCACCGAUAAUAACCGUGCAAACAAGUUGAUGCUGCUAUUUUUAAAUAAGCUGUUAUUAUUGACUAA